rnacentral:rRNA from 1 species
AGAGUUUGAUCCUGGCUCAGAAUGAACGCUGGCGGCGUGCCUAACACAUGCAAGUCGGAUGUGCCGCAAGGUGCAUGGCAGACGGGUGAGUAACGCGUAGGGAAUCUACCUUUUUGUGGGGAAUAACGCUCCGAAAGGAGUGGUAAUACCGCAUGAGACCGCAGACUGGGAUGUUUGUGGUGAAACCUGGGGACCGCAAGGCCUGGGGCAAGAAGAGGAUCCUGCGUCUGAUUAGCUAGUUGGCGGGGUAAUGGCCCACCAAGGCGACGAUCAGUAGCCGGCCUGAGAGGGUGAUCGGCCACACUGGAACUGAGACACGGUCCAGACUCCUACGGGAGGCAGCAGUGGGGAAUUUUGCGCAAUGGACGAGAGUCUGACGCAGCAACGCCGCGUGGGUGAUGAAGGUCUUCGGACUGUAAAACCCUGUCGUCAGGGACGA